rnacentral:rRNA from 1 species
UACGUAGGUGGCGAGCGUUGUCCGGAUUUACUGGGCGUAAAGGAUGCGUAGGCGGAUAUUUUAAGUGAGAUGUGAAAUACCCGAGCUUAACUUGGGUGCUGCAUUUCAAACUGGAUAUCUAGAGUGUGGGAGAGGAGAAUGGAAUUCCUAGUGUAGCGGUGAAAUGCGUAGAGAUUAGGAAGAACACCAGUGGCGAAGGCGAUUCUCUGGACCAUAACUGACGCUGAGGCGCGAAAGCUAGGGGAGCGAACAGG